rnacentral:rRNA from 1 species
CCUACGGGAGGCAGCAGUGAGGAAUAUUGGUCAAUGGGCGAGAGCCUGAACCAGCCAAGUCGCGUGAGGGAGUACUGCCCUAUGGGUUGUAAACCUCUUUUGUCGGGGAGCAAAAGCCGGACGUGUCCGGCUGUGAGAGUACCCGAAGAAAAAGCAUCGGCUAACUCCGUGCCAGCAGCCGCGGUAAUACGGAGGAUGCGAGCGUUAUCCGGAUUUAUUGGGUUUAAGGGGUGCGCAGGCGGAUUUUUAAGUCAGCGGUAAAAUCGUGGGGCUCAACCCCAUCCAGCCGUUGAAACUGGGGAUCUAGAGUGUGCGAGAGGUAUGCGGAAUGCGUGGUGUAGCGGUGAAAUGCAUAGAUAUCACGCAGAACCCCGAUUGCGAAGGCAACAUACCGGUGCACAACUGACGCUCAGGCACGAAAGCGUGGGUAUCGAACAGGAUUAGAUACCCUUGUAGUC